CUCCACGGACUCGCUCUUUUUCUCCAACUGCCUCAAUCUCCUUUUAAAUGCCCUUAUCGGCUCCCAUUCCUCAAAUUGACCUUCUUCCUCUUUCCACUCUCCCCAAAACUCCCUAAACCUAGCAGGCCUCCUCGUUCUCCUGAACUCCACAAUCCCAUCUCUAUCACCAUCUUCCACCUCCGCCACCAUUGCGUUCCUUAUAGCGGACAAGUCAAUCCCUAGCUUAGCCCUCGGUCCCCACUUCUCCAAUACCCUUUUGCUAAUCUCCGGCGCCGAGUAAACCCUUCGAAACUCCGAAAUCUUAGGCUGCAAUUUCU
rnacentral:misc_RNA from 1 species